AUACCUAGAAAAUACUUCGAUAUCAUCAGAAUAUGUAUAUGAAAAUUACAACGGGAAACCAAGUCUCUCAGCAGAGAAGGCCUUGGAUGGAGAAUAUCACAACCAUUCACACGGAUGUGCCGGUUCAAAGGCCAAUGGAGUCAUUGGGGAGGCUUGGUGGCAAGUUACCUUCAAGUCGUCUUCCAAGAUUUUUAAAAUCAAUUUGGUCUUCAGGGAGAAUUAUACCCGACAUGAUGGCUAUUAUGUAUUCAUCACAAAUCAGACUGUAAAGGUAGAGGAACUGUCCUCUCUAAGUCCCGUGUACCAUGACGAAGAACCCAGUCCCAGCUAUCAAAAUACCAUCGUUUUCCCCGGGGGAAGGGACGGUAUACAAGUGUUCCUGUACACCAACGAAACAAAUCGACCAACCGAAAACUUUGCUGUGAUUGAGCCUUGCGAGGUGGAAAUUUAUGGAUGUGUUAACGAAACCUCUGAGAAUUGCACUUGCCCAAGCGAAGUUGCCGAAGAGAGCUUUAGUAGAACCGUUUGGAAUUCGACAGUGGUAUUUAAACACGGAACAUUCUCACUCAGGUGUUAUGAC